UUGCAAGGGGAGGUGGUCCAUCGCCUUGGCCGUCCUCACCGUCGGCUUCUCUCCUCUAAGUUAUCCCACUGAUUCCUCCCCUCUGCUCAUCUCCCUUGCUCUAUGUGGUAAAUCUUAUGAUGGCCUUGGCGCCAUGGAAAUUUCUGCUUUGGCCAUAAGAUCUUGGACUUGCUGUCAUCUUGGAUUGAUUAUAAGCUUGCUGUUGUCUUGGCUUCUUAGAACUAAGAAUAGUAACCCUCCAAAGUGAUAAUAUUCAGAAGCUCGUUGCACAUUUAGCUCUGAAGAAUUGUUCUACUCACAAUUUAUAUCAAACUUCUUACACAUUCAGAUCAGCUAGUACCAGGAGCUAGUAGUUGAGAGCUCGAGUUGUUGCACAAUGGAAAGAACUUCGAAUCAAUUUGGUAGUCCUAGUGCUGGCUGCUGCUACUGUAAUUCUGGAUAUGAUGAUAAUUACUUUAUGUAAUUAUUAAGCUCAUGAGGUGAUGACGAUAAACUAGGAUAAGUAUUGAAGUGUAUGUAUUACAUGGUUCAUACUAGGUCAUUGCAAUUUUUGUUUGUUUGGUAUACAUUUAUUAAUCAGGCUCCUAAAAUAAAUAUGUUGGGUGCUUUCAUUGCCUGCAUGUUCAGUUAAGUGAGAGCCAGCUACCUGCAAGGUUGUUCGCAGGUCUAAUGAUGUGUAAAGAGCAGGCUUGCAAUGCCUGUCUUUUCUCAUACUGCUCCAAACGUAACUAUGGCCUUCUCACGAGGGGAUUCUAUGGCCUGUCCCCAUUUCUCUUUGUAGGUAAAGAUGUUGAUUUAGGUCCAGAUAGGUGUCUGCGCAAUUUAGCCUUUUUGUUUCCUGUGUCCCUAGUUUAGGUGUGUGUUCAAGCAAAAAAGGUGGGUGUUGAUGUUGUUAUUGUGUCCUGGAGCCUUGAGUAAAAUGCCAGGAUGCAAUGCUUGUCGUUCUCAUACUGCUCCAAAGAGUAACCGUGGCCUUCUCGUGGAGAGUAUGAUGCCUUGUGUAGCUAAUUAGUAUUAUGUCCAUGUUGUUGUUGGCUAGAUGGUAAUGGCUCAUCAGAAUAUACACACACGAGUGUAUCAUGUAACAAUUGGCAGUCACCAGAAUAUAUAUACAUUAAAUCUAUUGUUCUGUUUUAUCAUUGUGCUGCAUAUGUUUCUAACUCCACUAUUUCUGUUUUUCUUUAUCACCUUAUCCAACAUUAUAGAUUCAUGUAUUGAUGCAUGCCAACUAUGAAUAUGAUCUUGCAUUAAGCUUUAGCUGGUUGUUAAUUAUGUUGUGCUAGCUGCUGUCUAACCAUGGCCUGCGGCGGCUGGGUGUUUCUUUUGGGCGCAGGUGACUUGUACACGAAGCUGUACGACUAGUUAGGUGUUUCUUUUGGGUGUGUCCAGCACGUGUUCGAGUUCACUUGCGAUGGGAUUUUGCCUAAUAUGUGUUUGUGCUAAUAUCCGUAUAUGUAUUCCAGAUCAUUUACAUUAACAAUGAUAUAUUUCUGUAAUAGUGAAGAAAUACCAUCUUCAGUUGCAUUCCUUGACUUCGUAGAUCAGUGGAAUCAUCAUGAGUAGUAUACAACCUGAGAUGUCCGAUUGUAUACAAACUGCAGCUUGAAAUUAAUAUGUUCCAGGCUGUAUCUUUGAUUGUAAAUGUUUAUUCACUAUAAACUCUUCUAUCUGUGAUAAGUGCAACUAGAAGAAUUUGUCCCAUGUAAAAUUCUGUAAUCUCUAUUAGCUGAAACUUGAGCAUUACAAAGUUUCAUUUCUAAGUUCAGUUUGUUGAUAAGCCAUCCUCCUCCUGUUUCUGGAUUUAGCGUGCAUACACAACCCUUCAUGAUAAUAAACUACAUGCGAUAUACUCAAAUAGCACUACGGUCUGGGACUAUUUUAUGGUGUUGUGGAUAUACUUGGUGAUUUACAGUUACCCUCUAGUAUCAUAUUAUGGUCUAAUAUGUUUUGUUUUGACUCUUUGUUUGUUGCCAGGAAAGUGGUGAGGAGAUGUUGAUGAUGCCUACUUACUUGGCUGCUAUGGUGAUGCAUGUACCGGUGAAGCAAGCACACAUGCAAGGCUGGCCCCAUGUAUCUUCCUUAGCUGUGAAUAUCAUCUACAGGAUAGCAGUAUGACCAGGACAAGCUACAAGCUCCCAGCGCGUCUGAUCCAGGGUGCUAGGGCCAACCUGUUACGGAAGACGGCCAUGCUCACGAGCCCCUUUGGAUCAAAAUAGGAUGGCAAGUUGUGGCAGCUGGAGCAUGUCUCGUAAGAGAGAGCAAUGAAAUCCCUCUUGUAUAUUCUGU